rnacentral:rRNA from 1 species
AUGGCCCGCCGCCGCCGCCGCCGCCGCGCUCGCCCCGCCUCGCCACCGGCGGCGCUGGAAGACGAAGACCUCCUACGGAAGAUUCUCCUCCUCCCGCCUCAGCCCUCCUCCCUUCCCCGCGUCUCCGCCGUCUGCAAGCAAUGGCGCGGCGUCGUCACCGACCCCCGAUUCCUCCGCGGCUUCCGCGACCACCACCAGAAACCUCCGGUCCUCGGCCUCGUCAUGGGAUACAACGGGGAGCCGUUCUUCAGGUCCAGCCUCAGCUCUCCAGAUCUCAUCCCGCACAAGCGUUUCUUUUCCCCAGACAUCCUCGACCUCUACAUGGAGCUGAUUGGCUGCCGCCAUGGACGCGUCCUCUUCUUCGACCGGGGGCUGCUCUGUGCAAUGUUCGACGACAAGGAGAUUGUCGUCUGGAAUGGCGCCGUGCUUUGCGCUGCCGGCGACGAGGGUCACGUCCAUGGGGAUUGCCACUCGAGCCCGAUUUUGAUAGGUAUCCACAGAGACAAUAAUCGGGCGUUUGCCUCGGUCUACUCAUCGGAGGCCGGAACAUGGGGCGAGCUCAUCUCAACAGCUGCGAUUCGUAAUAUGUAUGACCUGAACCGUCCCGGUACCCUCGUUGGGGAUUCUGUUUAUUGGGUGUUUGAUGACCAUGAGGAUGGCAUACUCAGAUUUGAUUUAGAUAGGCAUAGUCUAUUUAAUAUCGAGAUGCCGGAUUUGAGGUAUUAUCGGCGCCCGAACAGCUUCAAGAUCUUGCGGGCAGAUGAUGGCAGUGUUGGCCUUGCAAUCUUGGAGUACCAAAAAUUCCAAAUGUGGGAGAGGAAGGUUGGUUCUGAUGGUGUUGCCGGAUGGAUGCUGCAGAAGACCUUUCAGAUGAACACGAUCCUUGGUUUGGGGCCUAUGGGAGGAGGGGAUAAUCUGAUGUUGGGGUAUGAUGAAGAUGAUCAUGAAAUUUAUGUAAGGACAGAUAUUGGUGUCUGCAUCAUCCAACUUGAGACAAUGCAGUUCAGGAAUCUUGGCAAAGAUAAUUUCACGACCACCGAAUAUUAUCCCUACAGAAGUUUCUACACUGCAGUGAGUGACUUGUCAGUAUGUGAAAGAAGAGUUGGUGGCAUCCCCAGACCCCUGGCGAAAGAUGUCAGCAUCAUGUUUCCUGCUUCAGUGGGAGUAGGAGCGGCAGGAGACACUGUUGCAGCUGCCUCGUUUGGAACCGUCGCAGAAGGAGAUACGUUAGACAAGACACACAACAGAGUUCAAGGAAUCGAUACUGGUCUUGUGCCAAGCCGAGUACUGACACAAACUCGAAUUGACGUGAUAUUCAAGAAAGAGAAGGAGACAAGAUCAAAACUUAGCAAAGCUUGGGCGAAAUGGUUUCACAGAAAUAGUGUUCCAGAAAGCAAAGCAGACUGCCCACACUUCCGCAGCGCCAUGAAGUUAACACAGCAGCUAGGCACCUGA